rnacentral:rRNA from 1 species
AACGUAGGUACCGAGCGUUAUCCGGAUUUAUUGGGCGUAAAGAGCUCGUAGGCGGCUUGUCACGUCGGGUGUGAAAGACCGGGGCUUAACUCCGGUUCUGCAUUCGAUACGGGCUAGCUAGAGUGUGGUAGGGGAGAUCGGAAUUCCUGGUGUAGCGGUGAAAUGCGCAGAUAUCAGGAGGAACACCGGUGGCGAAGGCGGAUCUCUGGGCCAUUACUGACGCUGAGGAGCGAAAGCAUGGGGAGCGAACAGG